rnacentral:rRNA from 1 species
UACGGAGGUCCCGAGCGUUGUUCGGAAUUACUGGGCGUAAAGAGCGCGCAGGCGGUCGUUCAAGUCGAGUGUGAAAGCCCCCGGCUCAACUGGGGAGGGUCACUCGAUACUGAUCGACUUGAAGGCAGGAGAGGGAAGCGGAAUUCUCGGUGUAGCGGUGAAAUGCGCAGAUAUCAGGAAGAACACCCGUGGCGAAGGCGGCUCUCUGGGACGGUACUGACGCUGAGACGCGAAAGCGUGGGGAGCGAACAGG